rnacentral:rRNA from 1 species
GUUAGGAAUAUUGGACAAUGGGCGCAAGCCUGAUCCAGCCAUGCCGCGUGAACGAUGAAGGCCUUCGGGUUGUAAAGUUCUUUAGCCGAUGAUUAUAAUGACUGUAGUCGGAAAAUAAGCCCCGGCUAACUUCGUGCCAGCAGCCGCGGUAAUACGAAGGGGGCGAGCGUUAUUCGGAAUCACUGGGCGUAAAGCGUGCGUAGGCGGCUUUGCAAGUUGGGAGUGAAAGCCCAGGGCUCAACCCUGGAAUUGCUCUCAAAACUGCAAGGCUCGAAUUCGGGAGAGGAUAGCGGAAUUGUCAGUGUAGCAGUGAAAUGCGUAGAUAUUGACAGGAACACCAGUGGCGUAAGCGGCUAUCUGGACCGAUAUUGACGCUGAGGCACGAAAGCGUGGGGAUCAAACAGGAUUAGAUACCCCAGUAGUCC